GGUGCUGUGGCACAACAGGUAAAGCCCGGGUCUGCAGUGCCGGCAUCCCGCAGGCCCAGGUUCAAGUCCCGGCUGCUCCA
rnacentral:tRNA from 1 species